GAUGAAGAACGCAGCGAAAUGCGAUAAGUAAUGUGAAUUGCAGAAUUCAGUGAAUCAUCGAAUGUUUGAACGCACAUUGCGCCCGCCAGUAUUCUGGCGGGCAUGCCUGUUCGAGCGUCAUUACAACCCUCAGGCCCCCGGGCCUGGCGUUGGGGAUCGGCGGAGCCCCCCGUGGGCACACGCCGUCCCCCAAAUGCAGUGGCGGUCCCGCCGCAGCUUCCAUCGCGUAGUAGCUAACACCUCCCGACUGGAGAGCGGCGCGGCCACGCCGUAAAACACCCAACUCUUCUGAAGUUGACCUCGAAUCAGGUAGGAAUACCCGCUGAACUUAAGCAUAUCAAUAAGCGGAGGA
rnacentral:misc_RNA from 1 species